GUAGGGAAUAUUGGGCAAUGGAGGCAACUCUGACCCAGCCAUGCCGCGUGCAGGAUGACGGCCCUCUGGGUUGUAAACUGCUUUUAUACGGGAAGAAAAAAUACUACGUGUAGUAUACUGACGGUACCGUAAGAAUAAGGAUCGGCUAACUCCGUGCCAGCAGCCGCGGUAAUACGGAGGAUCCAAGCGUUGUCCGGAUUUAUUGGGUUUAAAGGGUGCGUAGGCGGAUCUUUAAGUCAGUGGUGAAAGCCUGCAGCUUAACUGUAGAAUGGCCAUUGAAACUGAAGAUCUUGAAUGUGGUUAAAGUAGGCGGAAUGUAUCAUGUAGCGGUGAAAUGCUUAGAUAUGAUACAGAACACCGAUAGCGAAGGCAGCUUGCUGAACCAUUAUUGACGCUGAGGCACGAAAGCGUGGGGAGCGAACAGGAUUAGAAACCCCAGUAGUCC
rnacentral:rRNA from 1 species